rnacentral:tRNA from 1 species
AGGGGUAUAGCUCAGUGGUAGAGCACUGGUCUCCAAAACCAGUUACGGGGGUUCGAUUCCCUCUACCCCUGCCA